rnacentral:lncRNA from 1 species
UUCGGAUCGGACUUCGAGCUUGGCUUGAAACCAUUCAGACUGGACUCGAAUCAACAAAUAGGGCCCGUUUUGCAUUUGGACCGAACUUGGGCGGACCUUUGGCUCGGCUUGGGUUUGAGCCCGAAACUCAUCCCAAAGUUUAGCCUGGUUCCCAUGAUUUGCCCUGUCGAGCUCGGGCCCAAGCCUGAAACUCAGUCCAAAGUUCAGCCUGGCCCCACGAUUUGCCCUGUCCGCUGUCCGCCCGAUCAAGAGUCUGUUCUUUUUUGAGAAGCUUCUCCAGUUCUCCCUCCGAGCCAUCUUCUCCUCCUUCGCAGCCUUCUGUGCGGCGGAUUGAUGGUGGCAGCUUCCAAGCAAAGGCUCUCCUGCUCCUCUCCCUCUCCGCUAUGGUGCCUGAACCCUAUGUCUUGCUCAUCUCUAUCCUCACCACCAACAUCAUCGUCCACCCUAUCUAGUACGGCGC